rnacentral:sRNA from 12 species
UGCAGGCAAGCGCGAGGAUAACCCUAGGCCAUGUGCAUUCAUGGCAGCCCGAAUGGGUGGGAUCCUAGGUCUCGGGGCCUGCUCUUUC